rnacentral:rRNA from 1 species
UGGGGAAUAUUGGACAAUGGGGGGAACCCUGAUCCAGCCAUGCCGCGUGUGUGAAGAAGGCCUUAUGGUUGUAAAGCACUUUAAGCGAGGAGGAGGGUACUGGUAUUAAUACUACCAGGUACUGGACGUUACUCGCAGAAUAAGCACCGGCUAACUCUGUGCCAGCAGCCGCGGUAAUACAGAGGGUGCGAGCGUUAAUCGGAUUUACUGGGCGUAAAGCGUGCGUAGGCGGCUAAUUGAGUCGGAUGUGAAAUCCCCGAGCUUAACUUGGGAAUUGCAUUCGAUACUGGUCAGCUAGAGUAUGGGAGAGGAUGGUAGAAUUCCAGGUGUAGCGGUGAAAUGCGUAGAGAUCUGGAGGAAUACCGAUGGCGAAGGCAGCCAUCUGGCCUAAUACUGACGCUGAGGUACGAAAGCAUGGGGAGCAAACAGG